rnacentral:lncRNA from 1 species
UUUUAAAUUUUAAAUUUUAAAUUUUAAUUUUAUAUUUUGAAUUUUUAUUUUUAAUUUUUAAAAUUUUAUUUUUAAAUUUUGAAUUUUGAAUUUUGAAUUUUGAGUUUUGAAUUUUGAAUUUUAAAAUUUUAAAAAUUUAAUUGUUAUAAAUACUGCGGAAUUGUAUGAUAUGUAUCCAAACAGCUUAAAAAUGAAGCUGUGGAAUUUUUUUAUAGUUACAGGAUUCCGUAUUUCAUUUAGACCAAAACCAUAGAAUAAAAAUUCCAUGGAGUUUUUUAACUAUGCAUCCAAACAGGGCCAAAUAAUAGAGUUUUAAGUAACUUCAAUGGAGUUUUAUAAGUCACAAAUUGGAGUUUUAUAGUCAUAUAUGUUAGUGUACGAGACAAAAGGGUGUAUCAUUUUGAUACUUCCUAUGCUUGGAAGAGAAUCCUGAGAGGGAAACAUAGCAGAACAAAAGUAUUCUAUGAAAGAUGGGUAAUUAGUAAUGUGAGAAAUGCUACCUAUACCACCAGAGGAUAUUUGUUGAAGGAGAAACCAGCAUCCUGCAGCUUACACGACGGAGGUCAGAUUGGGACAUGUCAUAAUUGAGACUUCACUUGUGGACACAAUAUCUAAUCGUUUUAUAUAAUUUAGUUGUAUCUUUCUAAUAGUUCAAGCUUUUGAAAUUAAUAAUUAAUAUCAACGAUCCAACAAGAUACAUCCAACCCAUCCAAAAGCUCCUAGUCUCCCACUAGGCUUAUCAACUUUUUAAUUUUUAAAACAACCGACCGUCUCUAGCGCAAGUGGCAAAAGGGCUUGGUGGUUGGUAACCGAAAUCCAAAUUCGAAUCCUAGUUGAUUCAUAUUUCUAGCUAAGUUUAUUUUUAAAUGAAAUAAACGAAGAGGGUAACAUGUUACCUUUCUCUCAAAAAAAAAAUUUUUUUUUGGCUAAAUUACAUAAAACCUCUCUGUCAAAAUUCGAUUUUUCACUUUUCUCCCUGUCAUUUAAAAACCUACACUUUGCCCCCUUAUAAAAUAAAAAAUAUUCACUUCGCCCCCUGCCGUUAGUAAUCCGUUAGGAUUCCAUUUAUAAAAUAUUAUUAUAUAUUUUUUUAUGCCAAAAAUAUCCUCAGCCUUCUUUUCUAUGAACAUGGUGAUGGGCAAAAUGGUCAUUUUAUCAUCACAGUUCACACCGUACCCCCCUGUGAACAUUUUUUAUUUUACAAGGGGGCAAAAUGUAGGUGUUUUAAAUGACAUGAGUAGAAAGUGAAAAAUUCUGUUUUGACAAGAGGGUUUUCUGUAAUUUAGCCUUUUUUUUAUAACACUAAAACCUGAAUAUUUUUAUGAACCUUAGGAUAGU